rnacentral:ncRNA from 2 species
UCAAAUAGUAAAGUAUGUGGUUUACAUAGGUAAUUAAAAGGGAAAAUGGUGAAAUUCCAUUACAGCCCCGCUACUGUAUUGGGUGACGAUUUUAAAUUUCCACUGGAGUAUUCCGGGAAGGAAUUAAAGAGGAUGAUCCUAUAGUCAGGAGACCUGCCUAUACUUUUGAAAUAAU